GGACUACUAGGGUUUCUAAUCCUGUUCGCUCCCCACGCUUUCGCUCCUCAGCGUCAGUAAUGGCCCAGAGACCCGCCUUCGCCACCGGUGUUCCUCCUGAUAUCUGCGCAUUCCACCGCUACACCAGGAAUUCCAGUCUCCCCUGCCACACUCCAGCAUGCCCGUACCGGAAGCAGAACCGGGGUUAAGCCCCGGUCUUUCACUCCCGACGCGACACGCCGCCUACGAGCCCUUUACGCCCAAUAAAUCCGGACAACGCUCGCACCCUACGUAUUACCGCGGCUGCUGGCAC
rnacentral:rRNA from 1 species